GUGGACAUAGUUUAAUUAAAACACUAAAUUGUGGAUUUAGAAAUAGGAUAUAACACACCCUUGUACACC
rnacentral:tRNA from 1 species